CCCACAAUGCUUAUUACUCCUCACAGUUUUUCAUCUUUCUCUCCCUUUUCUAACGUUACCUGUUGCGUACAUAGCGUGUCGAACGCGUAUUCCGUGCGAUGAGCGAUAUUCGAGUUUAACUUUUGUCCUAAUAUGACAAAAUACGCGUCGGGAGUGUCGGCUAAUAUAUCAUAUGAUUAUUAUAAUAUCGUUCCGCCGUAAUUUUGCAGUAAUAUAAAACGCGGAGUGCCAUUUAAAGUGCCGUGCGAUUUUCAUAUUCGCGUCGCGAUCGCAUGUGAAUACUUUGAAAACCACUGAGAGGAGGAGGAGGCUCGGGAGGAGCAUCGGGCGCCGGCGGAACAACUUUACGAUCAACUAUGCAGAUCAACAGAACGACAAUACAGACUCCGCUGCUGCGCAUCAAUCGGCUGCACCGUUACAUCGGGAAUGGCCUUAUUUGAAAGGGGGUGCUCUCUUGGCAGACGAGCCUCCAAGACGACGCCGUCGAAGCCUUCGCAGCCGGUCCGCACUGUCUCCCGAGUGGGGACCAGUAUCCAGCGGUCGGACCUUCAGAACCGGAGGAAGGCCAUCUUCCUGGUCACACCGCCGCCGCCGAUACCACGAGGGCGGAAGCGCCAGUCUCCGGGCGACGUGGGCAUAGUCUCGUACACGCCAUCGCAGGAGCGAAGAGCGACGAGGCCAACCGCCGUGCCGACCACCGCACGAGUCAAACCGACCAGCGCCGUAAAAAUACGGCCCUGGAGCGGGUUACCGGUCAUUGUAACUCGGCCGACAACGGCCGUCGCCGCACCACCGGCAUCAGCAGCCGCCGCAUCUCGGGCCACCACCAGCCGCCGCAUCUCGGCCACCACCAGCCGCCGUCUCAAGGCCACCGCCAACCGCCGCUGCACCACCGCCGCCGCCAGCUAAGGGGCCAGCCAAUUCGCCGCCCAUCAUGGUGGAGUAUGCUCCGCGAGAAUUCGCCGCGGUACCGUAUUACUCGGUAACCGUCUCGCGGAGCUAUAAGCUUCGAACAGACGACGGAAGGAGAUACAAGCUCCUCUUCUUGCGAGAAGGGCGACUUCUCGCAAGCCGUCUGCUGCCGCCGCAGGCUUCUGGCUCCCCGAAGCGGGGGGUGAUGUAACGGUGCAGCCUGCAAGCUGUACCAACUUCACGUCACGCGUGAACGAAUCACACGUCACCUUUAUACACUCAUCACACUGAUACGAAUUAUACGAAUUACAUUUAUACCGAUCACACGCAAACAUUUAUACAAACCAUUUAUACCAACCAUACGCAUGUACACACUGUCGUCUAAAUAAACAUAUCAUUUUGUUAUCAUCUUUUAAACGCGAGUUCUUCUUGACGUACCUCCAACCGAACGAACCCGGAUUCGAGCUAUACCGCGAGCUAUACCGCGCCCGAAAAGCUCACACGGUUUCAUGUGUUUAGAAAAAUACAUAUUAUAUUACAG